UACAAAAUACAAGUGUGUCGUAGGCUAC
rnacentral:piRNA from 1 species